GCCAGUUGUGAGCUGUCAUGUAGGUACUGGGAUUUGAACCUGGGUUCUCUGGAAGAGCAAGUGCCCUUAACUGCUAGCUAUCUCUUCAGCCCCCAUCAACAACACCUUUUUAAUAUAUUAACCAUAUUACUGUAUAUUAUUACAUUCUAUUGAGUUUUAUUGUCACAACUGAUUCAAGAAUUUUGACAUUUCUCAUAGCAAUUCACUGAAAAGAUUAGAAACUAGAGCAUUCUGAGAGCAGGCUACCUGAAAACUGAGUUUGCUGGGCAAUCUGGGUUGGCUAUGUCUUAUUCUCUUGCCUCAGUGUCCCACAAGUUCAGAUUAGAGAUGGGAACCAACAUGCUCAGCUUUGCUUACAUCAAUCUAUACAAAGUUUCUACACAACAGAGCUCAAGGGCUGAAUUAAAUGAUGUCACAGUUGGAACAGUUUCACUUGACACCACUAAAGAAAUGACUGCAUAAUAAAAUCUGAGAGAAGGAAAAAUAUUCCUGGAGAAGAAGCAAAGGAAAAACAACCCAGUCAAGGUUGUAAAUGUACCCAAAGGACAAAAACGGUAGGAACUGGACUGAAAAUCAAAGUGUCAAGAUCAAAAUAUUACUGUUUGACAAAUCCAGAGGCACCGAGAGAGCGACAAGGACGAUGACCUUAACAUCCAACCAGCCAGCCAGGAAGACAAGGAGUUGGCAGAAUGAAGAGGCUGUGGUGUAGUCAAUGUGCAUCUCAUGAAUCAUAUGUUUGAUAAGUGAACCCAACAAAUGCCAAAUAGUAGGAUAGAUUUCUCUUCAUUACUGCCAGAAAAAGGCUUUUCUACCUUUCUCUUAAUUCGCAGUUAUAAAGUAUGAAUAUUGGAAUAAAGGUUAAGCUUAAAUGUUCUCUUGUAGUUUAAAAAUAUCUUUAAAAAAGGAUACACAGGGGCUGGAGAGAUGGCUCAGCAGUUAAGAGCGCAGAAUGCUC